UGGUGAGUAACGCGUGAGCAACCUGGCUAUUAGAGGGGAAUAACAGUGAGAAAUCAUUGCUAAUACCGCAUAAGCUGAUAGAAUCGCAUGAUUUAGUCAGAAAAGGAGCAAUCCGCUAAUAGAUGGGCUCGCGUCUGAUUAGCUAGUUGGUGGGGUAACAGCCUACCAAGGCAACGAUCAGUAGCCGGACUGAGAGGUUGAACGGCCACAUUGGGACUGAGAUACGGCCCAGACUCCUACGGGAGGCAGCAGUCGGGAAUAUUGCGCAAUGGAGGAAACUCUGACGCAGUGACGCCGCGUAUGGGAAGAAGGUUUUCGGAUUGUAAACCAUUGUCGUUAGGGAAGAAGAAGUGACAGUACCUAAGGAGGAAGCUCCGGCUAACUAUGUGCCAGCAGCCGCGGUAAUACAUAGGGAGCGAGCGUUAUCCGGAUUUAUUGGGUGUAAAGGGUGCGUAGACGGGAAUUUAAGUUGGUUGUGAAAUCCCUCGGCUCAACUGAGGAACUGCAACCAAAACUGGAUUUCUUGAGUGCUGGAGAGGAAAGUGGAAUUCCUAGUGUAGCGGUGAAAUGCGUAGAUAUUAGGAGGAACACCAGUGGCGAAGGCGACUUUCUGGACAGUAACUGACGUUGAGGCACGAAAGUGUGGGGAGCAAACAGGAUUAGAUACCCUGGUAGUCCACACCGUAAACGAU
rnacentral:rRNA from 1 species